AGGCAGCGCUGCCCAGAGCCAGAGGAAGAUGAAGGUGGCUGUUCUCAGCGUGGCCCUGCUCUUCUCCAUCCUGCUGUGCCCCCCGGCACAGGCCAAGGCACUCCUGGAAGGAACCCAAGAUGAUCUCCGGGAGUUGGAUUUAGACAAUGUUGUGGUCCUGGAGACGCCUCUGCCCCCUGUGGCUGAAGAGCUGCGGGCUCUCCUGCGGCAGAAGCGCCUGGCUGCCGCUCUGGAUGCCUAGGGUGUGAAGGACCAGUGGACUUUAUCCUCUCCAGUGGCAUGAGGAGAUGAUCAUCCCUGGAGGAACCCCCUGAACUCUUUGAGCCCUGGGCCAUUUCCCCUGAAUAAUCAUUCAUCAAGAAUCAGUAAACCCUUUGAGCAAAGCUUU